rnacentral:rRNA from 1 species
UCGGGUUGUAAAGCACUUUUGUCCGGAAAGAAAACUUCUGCCCUAAUACGGUGGGAGGAUGACGGUACCGGAAGAAUAAGCACCGGCAACUACGUGCCAGCAGCCGCGGUAAUACGUAGGGUGCGAGCGUUAAUCGGAAUUACUGGGCGUAAAGCGUGCGCAGGCGGUUCGUUAAGACAGAUGUGAAAUCCCCGGGCUUAACCUGGGAACUGCAUUUGUGACUGGCGAGCUAGAGUAUGGCAGAGGGGGGUAGAAUUCCACGUGUAGCAGUGAAAUGCGUAGAGAUGUGGAGGAAUACCGAUGGCGAAGGCAGCCCCCUGGGCCAAUACUGACGCUCAUGCACGAAAGCGUGGGGAGCAAACAGGAUUAGAUACCCUGGUAGUCCACGCCCUAAACGAUGUCAACUAGUUGUUGGGUCUUCAUUGACUUAGUAACGUAGCUAACGCGUGAAGUUGACCGCCUGGGGAGUACGGUCGCAAGAUUAAAACUCAAAGGAAUUGACGGGGACCCGCACAAGCGGUGGAUGAUGUGGGUUAAUUCGAUGCAACGCGAAAAACCUUACCUACCCUUGACAUGGUCGGAACCCUGCUG